AUCGGCUAACAACGGGUUUACAGAAGCCAACACGUCAACGUAACCGUUGUGAUUUCGGUAUUUCUAGAGUCCUGGAACUGAGAGAACACUUUUCUCUUAGGGGGCUCCACUGUUAAGGUAAACGCAGAACAAAAAGAAGAAAAUAGACCCAAAAUACCUGUCCUCCUCCCUAAAAAAAUAUAAUUUUGACCGUUUAGUUGCCAAGCGUGCCAUAAAUCGAAAGUUGAAAGUGGACUUUGGUCUAAAUGGCGUCGUUUUCGCCAAUUUCUUCGGAGGAAUCCAGCCCCGAAGGAGACCGUAAAUGUUGCGGGAAAAGCCAAAAAUGCAGCAAAGAGACAGGCCAUUUGGGCAAAUGUGAUUCGAAACGACAAGUAAAUCGUUUCUAGGAAACAUCGCCUAUUUUUAACAUUCAUAAGGAGCGCCAAACGCUCCAAGACAACUUUCGCUAGCUUCAAGUCCAAGAAGAUGCUUCAUCCAAGAAGGAGCAAGAUAUCUUGGCUUUACAAAGGGAGACAGAUGCUCUAGUAGAGGAAUCAGAAAGAGCGCUGCAAAACUCAAAAGGAGAGAAAGAGACACUAGACAAAGAAAUAAGUGAAGCAGAGAAGACACUGAGAGAACUAAAGGAGGCAUAUGAGAAAGUGAAAAAGCUGUUAAUAAUAAUAAUAAUUUAUUACUUAUAUGGCGCAAACUACAUGUGGAUAUGAUCUAAUGCGCUAUUGGAGCAGAAGGAUGAUUCCCGAAGACGAAGGGGUGCUGCUAGCACAUUAUAUGAGGAUGAUUCAUGAUUACAAGUCGAGCACUAGAUACAGGAGAAGGGAAGAAACUAAAAACGUAUUAGAAUUUAUUCAUGGGGGUUUUGAAGCUUCAUUGUAUGGGCAUGGGAUUUUUUGGCUGCCAAUGCAAGUAAUGAAAACAUGGGCAUACUAAUGAGUAAUUAUAAGAGGGGCCGAUUUCUUCAGGGUUUUUUUGAGAGAGCCGUUAAUGAUUAUCAGAAGUCAGAAGAAGUACCGCGGUGUUAAGAAUCAGAGAGGGAAGUGAUCGAGCCAACCAAAGCGAGAACGAGAGGUACAUUAUACCACAUGGCAGAGCCGAAUAACGAAAUGUUUCGUCACAGGUAUGCGGUCAAUAGCGCGGUCUCAAGCGCACGGGGUUUAAGAUACAGCGAAAUAGGGGCUGGCAUCUAGACGGCAGAGGCAUUUUGUUGUCGUCGAAGGCAUUUUCCUAUUUUCAGUUUUUUUAAGGAAAAGAUGAAUUUUUGAAAAUUUUUAGAGGGUGUCCAAAGUUUUUGAGGUUCUACUGUAAAAGAAAGCGGCUAUGAAACAACGCCUAGAAGCAACAGAAUGGAAUAUCAGACAUGCAAAUGACUCAAACUUCGUUUUCCGCGGAACUUUCCGUGCUCAAGCCUAACGUAUGCGCAGACGCUAUUCAGCUCUGUUCCACGUGGGUUGGUAAUUUUCUCUUAGAGACGACAGCUGAAUUCUGCUUUCAGCGUUGCUGCUGAUUUGCAAGCAGGCGCUUACAGUCAAGGUAACACCAGUGUCAAAACACACAUUAAAUACUAGCACCUGAGGGUUGCUUAAGAACCAAUAAACAUGAAAUUCCUCAUUCCCUUUAGAAAAUAUCGAGAAGACUUCCUUGUGCUCGUGUAUUAAGGUGGCUCUGCUUGUCAUGUCACUGAGUAUUACU